ensembl:lncRNA
GGAAAGAGGAGCCUGGCAGGCUACAGUCCAUGAGGCCCCUAGAGUCAGACACGACUUAGCGAUUAAACCACCACCACGUACAGUCUGGGCUUCUUUCCAGAGGCUACCGCCUCACUAAACUUUAUCUGGCUCUAUCCUGUUGGUUCUGUUUUCUCUGGAGAGCCCUGACUAACACACUGCCAUGAUCAACUGGGCGUGGAGAAGGAGCAGCUUGGAAUGGCAGCGGACAGCCAGAACAGAUGGACAGCAGCUGAAUCAAUCAAGAAGCGAUUGCAAUCUAUGGUCCUGGAGGCAAUUACCACUCCCUCACUGAGAAGUCAAUGAAAAGGAUACAUCAAAGAGUUAUUAACACACUCAUAAAUUUGUAAAGCAUCUCCUAACGACACCACUAUAACUAUCCCCAUGUAUAAUGGCUUCAUAAUUUUAUUUGUUGAAGUAUAAUGUACACAAGUGAAAUGUUUAUAUCUUAGGUGUGCUGUCCAAUCAGUUUUGAUAAAUGCAUAUACUUUUGCAGACUAUGCCCCUAUCAAGACACAGAGCAUUUCCUUCAAACCCAGAAAGUUACUUGUGUCCCUACCCAGGCAAUGCCCCUCUCAGAAACAACAACUAAUCCUGUUAUUUGUCACUAUAUUCCAAAGUUUCAUAUAAAUUGAAUCCUGUAGUUUGUCAUCUUUUGCAUCUUGCUUUUUUAUUUAGCAUAAUAUUUUCUGAGAAUGACUCAUAUUAUUUCAAGUACCAGUAUCUGAUCCCUUUUUAUUGCAAAGUAAGAUUCCAUUAUAAGAAAAUACACAGUUUAAUAAUCCAUUCUUCUAUUGAUGGACAUCUGGGAUGCUUACAGGUUGGAAUUGUUAUGAAAAGAAGAUUCUAUGAACAAUUUUAUUUUCCUUUUUGGUGUAACUAUGUUUUUGUUUCUCUUGAAUAAAUAUCUUGG